rnacentral:sRNA from 1 species
ACGGUAAGACCCUGAGCACCUUAACUUCCCUAAA